rnacentral:rRNA from 1 species
CAGCAGCGCGGUAAUACGAAGGGGGCUAGCGUUGUUCGGAAUUACUGGGCGUAAAGCGCACGUAGGCGGAUAUUUAAGUCAGGGGUGAAAUCCCGCAGCUCAACUGCGGAACUGCCUUUGAUACUGGGUAUCUUGAGUAUGGAAGAGGUAAGUGGAAUUCCGAGUGUAGAGGUGAAAUUCGUAGAUAUUCGGAGGAACACCAGUGGCGAAGGCGGCUUACUGGUCCAUUACUGACGCUGAGGUGCGAAAGCGUGGGGAGCAAACAGGAUUAGAGACCCCCGUAGUCCCUGUCUCUUAUACA